rnacentral:rRNA from 1 species
AAUCAACGCUGGCGGCGUGCCUCAGACAUGCAAGUCGAACGCGAAAGUUCCCUUCGGGGGGCGAGUAGAGUGGCGCACGGGUGAGUAACACGUAGGUAAUCUACCUUUGGGUGGGGAAUAACAGCCGGAAACGGCUGCUAAUACCGCAUAAUGCAGCGGCUCGACAUCGAGACAGUUGUUAAAGCGGGGGAUCGCAAGACCUCGCGCCUAAAGAGGAGCCUGCGGCGGAUUAGCUUGUUGGUGAGGUAAUGGCUCACCAAGGCAUCGAUCCGUAGCCGGCCUGAGAGGACGACCAGCCACACUGGC